AGGGUCUUUCACUUCGAUAACCCUAUUUGACCGAGCUGUUCGUCUGGGAAAGGUGAAAGUCUGUUGAAAGUCGAAGACAGCCUUCAAGAAAUGCGACUACUUGUUGGAAAGGACGAGCAACUGAAGACAUGACACGGUUGAGAUAUUUUAGCCAUGUUUGAAAGCGGCAGGUUAAAUACAGAAAAAUCGUCGAUGACAUAAAGAUGUACAAGAGAUGAAGAUCAGGAAGAAGAUAGAGGAGUACGUUAUUAUUUUUCCUGUCCUAAUCUUAACUUGUUUUUAGAUUUUUCGUUUAGAUGAGGAGGAGGCUGAUGAAAAGAGAGAGGAUGCUGACGGAGAGACAAGAAGAUGCUGAUGGAGAGACGAGGAUGCUGAUGAGAGAAAAGAGGAUGCUGAUGG